rnacentral:rRNA from 1 species
CGGCAACAGCUCAAAUUUGAAAUCUGGCCUCUUUUGGGGUCCGAGUUGUAAUUUGUAGAGGAUGUUUUUGAUGCGGUGCCUUCCGAGUUCCCUGGAACGGGACGCCAUAGAGGGUGAGAGCCCCGUCUGGUUGGAUGCCAAAUCUCUGUAAAGUUCCUUC